GUUCCUGUAGCGCAAUGGGUACAUCUUUGAACUUUUAAUUCGAAGGUCGUGGGUUUGAAUCCCACCUGGAAUG